rnacentral:lncRNA from 1 species
GCUUCUAGGAUAUACAUCUAGCAAACUCCCACUCAACCUAAAGUUAAUUGGUAAUAAACCUAAGCCCCAUCUUCUCAAGGUGAGCUUCAGUCUUCUGUUGGCUUAGCGGCUUGGUCAGUAGGUCAGCCAUAUUCUCUAUGGAGUCGACCUUCUGUACCUCGAUAAACUUCUUCUCGAGAUAUUUGCGAAUUAGAUGAAACCACCACUUAAUGUGCUUGGACUUCUAGUGAGACUUUGGUUCCUUAGUGAGUGCUAUGGUAUCCUUAUUAUCAUAGAAGUGUGGAAUGGA